rnacentral:rRNA from 1 species
UUAUAGUUUGAUCCUGGCUCAGAUUGAACGCUGGCGGCAUGCCUUACACAUGCAAGUCGAACGGUAACAGGGAGCUUGCUCCGCUGACGAGUGGCGAACGGGUGAGUAAUAUAUCGGAACGUACCUUUGAGUGGGGGAUAACUAGUCGAAAGAUUAGCUAAUACCGCAUACGAUCUACGGAUGAAAGUGGGGGAUCGCAAGACCUCAUGCUCAUAGAGCGGCCGAUAUCUGAUUAGCUAGUUGGUGAGGUAAAGGCUCACCAAGGCUUCGAUCAGUAGCUGGUCUGAGAGGACGACCAGCCACACUGGGACUGAGACACGGCCCAGACUCCUACGGGAGGCAGCAGUGGGGAAUUUUGGACAAUGGGGGCAACCCUGAUCCAGCAAUGCCGCGUGAGUGAAGAAGGCCUUCGGGUUGUAAAGCUCUUUUGUCAGGGAAGAAACGGGGGAUCCUAAUACGGUCCCCAUAAUGACGGUACUUGAAGAAUAA